AUAGGUUUGAAAUGGGGAAAUGGGCUUAAAGCCUUCUUCAGGAGAGAUUUACUCAGUUUUCUCCAGUGUCAUUCAGAGGCCAAGUUUUCAAGCCUUCCAGACUUUGACUUGUUUUGAUUUCACUACAAAAUCCUGCAAGAAUUCUGCCAACAGCGAGGCCAAUGUGUCUGAAAGCAGAUGGCACUUCCAGUACCUAAAGGCUGGUCAGGUUGAUUGCUUUGAGUCUGGAAGGUCAUCAUGGUUGAAGGCAUGAAGAUGAGGACAUCAAAGCCUUUGCC